GCCAUCUCAGUGGCUUCAGUAAUCACUUAGGUUAUGUGGGGAGAUGUAGCGAAGCUGACGGAGGUCUUGGCUCUCAGUAGGAAUAGAGAUGAGGAAAGCAGGGCCUGAAGAUUAAAUCAUCAUCACAAACACUGCAAGGGACCAACAACCACCGCAUCUCUCCGGGUCCUAGCAUUUAUGUACCGUCUGAAGAGCUCCCAGAAUUCCAAGUAUCACACAACCACAGAAAUUUUCUGCAGAUCGGAAAACACACCAUGCUUCUGCUAGAACAUGAGGCGAAUCACGGUCAGCUGCUGUGGACCAUCCGAACCAUCCCCACACCCCAACAUAAAAGUACAUUCUUAUGAUAUUUCUGUGUUUUUUAAGAAACCAAAUUCCAGAAAUCUCAAAAUGUCACUACAUCUCCCCCCUGCUGUUUUUAAGACAUUAACUGUGCUGUGUAUAGUGGGAAAGUAUAAACAGAGACAUCUUCAAUGAAAUAAAUGCUUUAUGGUCAGCGGCCAAGGUCUUCAGAAGAUCUCUAACUGUUAACAGUUUUGAUGGUUCCCACAGCUUUGGGUCUCCUGUGGAAAUAUAACGAAACCCUCACCCCCAACACAAAACCAUGCUGGCUUCCACUCUAAUGCUAACAUAUCCUUACAGCACACAGGCUGACUUAAUUCUAUAGUUUUUUUUUCUAUAACCCAGUGUUUCUUAGCUGCUGUUGAUCCUUUCUCAUUAACAUUCUGAAAAUUUAAAGUUAGAGCACUACUGAUUAGAAUCUCUGCAGUUUUUUAUUUUCCCUCUUUGUCUUAUAAGCAUUUCCUGUAAGCAUUUCCUUUAAGGUGGGAUUAGAUCCUUCUACAACUGCCUGUCCUGAAGGACUGUGUGGUACAAUGCUAAUAUAUUUUACAUAAUAUGCAAAAAAUGAUUUCAAUUUAUUAGAGACAUAUGCAGAGGCUUCAUCAGUUUUAAUUUGUGAGGUUUUCCCCACGAUAACCAUUACUUAGUGUAAAGAUGUAAUUAUAGAAUCAGCCUUUUCAGAAUUUAAAAUUUAAAAUCCUGAUUAUGUAUCAAAGGCAUGGUGUUUAAACUUUAGUUUUCCAAAUUCUGAAAAAUGAAACACAUCCAUUUGCCGGAUUUUUUUGGGUAUCUUUAGGGUUAACUUCAGUGUAUAACGAGGCUUAAUUUUUCUUAGCUUGUCUCCAAGUAACAGAAAAAACUUUUUUUAAGCUUCAGCUGUUUGCAUGUUUUUCAUGAAACUCUGAUGAUUCCAAUAUAUUUCCUAUCAACAACUGGUUCAUUUCAUUUCCUGUGGUAAUGAACCUAGCAGACCUGUGUGUGAACAAAUUUGGUUGAUAUAUAAUGGCUAAUUUUUUUUUCCCCCCGGAGCUUGGGACCGAACCCAGGGUCUUGCGCUUCCUAGGCAAGCGCUCUACCACUGAGCUAAAUCCCCAACCCCAUAAUGGAUAAUUUUUAAUCCUGAUUGUUGCAUUUGUAUUUAAAAAAAGGUUAAUCCUGAAUUAUUAGGAAUAAAUCCAGCAGUUUCUAUAUGCAGAAUAACCUUUCUGCAUAUUGAGAGUCAGUAAUUAUAUUAAGAGGUUCAGGAAAAUCUAAGAAAUCCAUAUAGCUGUGAUUUUUUUUUUUCUAAUUGAGGCAUAUAGGCUUUGAAUUACUUUACUCAUACGGUCUGACUUAUAGCCUGCCAUUUCCAACUUAUUAGCAUCAGUAGAGAACGUAGAUGCUUCAGAGCUGGUGUUUCUCCCACAAUGUGUGGAGAAUACUGUGAUGAUCUGAAGACGCUUGCUGGCUUAGGCUGUCUGCUGUUGAUGUCUCCUAAACAGCUACAAACUCUUCACCAACCUCCACAGGUUACCAACAAUGACAGAGUGUCUGCAUCAGUUUACAACUUCUGCUGAGUUUUUUCCUGAAAACUCAUGUCGUCUUAUUCUUCCUUUUAGGAUUAAAUCUGUUCUACUAGAGUUAACUCUCUGCACUUCAGCCACUAACCAUCUUGGACUUAUUAGGUUGAAAACUUGCAAUAUUUAAAACAAAUUACUUAACACUUUGAGUAGUUAACCCAAUAAUAGGCCAUAGCCAAUUAACAUCUCCCAUUAAUUUUUGAAAAUCAUUAAGAAUUUGCAACUCAUCUCUUCUGAUCUGUGCCUUUUGUGAUUGAAUGAUUUUGCUGUUGUUGACUUAUUUCAUAAACCUAAUAGUUAAUCAAAUCUCUUUACUGUAGUUUCUCAGGAGCAAUCUAUAACUCGCAGCACGACAGAAUUGUCUGUGUUUCCUUAAACAUUUUCUCUAAAGUAUCUGCAUGUGAAUUAGCCCCCCCCCCAAAAUCCAUAUAAUAAAAAAAUGGAUACAAGAAAUUGCCUACAAAUUAUUUCCAGCAGUUGUUGCACAAGAUAUCAACAUAAAAUUGGACUCACUAACAUUCCUUGUUAAAGAACUUUUGACUGAUAUCUUUUUAUAGGCAUUCAGAAAACAAUUUUUAUCUUGCUCAUACAAUGGGUUACUAAAAACCAGUCUUUUCAAUCAAUUACUAAGAUAAGCCAUGCCUUAGAUAAUGAAGAAAGGACAGGAACUCCAGGCUAUAACAAACCCAUUAGUUAGACUACUCUACUCAUAGCUCUUAAAUCUGUUUAUAAUCUCAAAUUUUCUGAUUCCUUAUAUUAUAACGAAUAUUGGAGAGUUCCAAGAACUGACAGACUCUUCUAUAUGCUGACCCUCCAGCUGCUCAAGUGCUUGCUUUUUUAGUUUUUUGUUUGUUCGAUGGUUAAGGGCCACUGCUUUACCCUUAAAGGCCGCUGGUCAACCAUUUUAAGGGUAGAGCCAUUGAUACUUCAGCAGUGCAUCCCCUACCCCCAUAAAUUUGGAAACUCAAUUCCUGUUAUGCCCUGUAUUUGGACAAUUGGCACAGUCUGGGGUUGUUUCUGGCGACACACAUCAAGACCUUCUCCACAAGCAUCUACCAUUUCUGCACUUAUUUCAUUAUGGGCUGUUUCUGGGACUGCAGGAUUAUUAAUCUGAAUAUCCCACAGUUGUAAAAAAAAAAAAAAAAUCCCUUCCCUUCCCUACCAAUGGAUGGGUGUGUCAGCCACAUAAGGCUUCCCUUCCCUACCAAUGGAUGGGUGUGUCAGCCACAUAAGGCCUUCCCUUCCCUAUCUGACCUUCCAAUCCUACACAUUUACCCAUCAUACACUUUGAUUUACCUGAGAUAACUUUCCAAUUCCUAGAAACUAGGUAUAAACAUUUUGAAGUGGGAAUUCAGAAUUCCAAAUAUUUUUGUACAAUGAUAGAUACAUCAUCUCCUGGAGUCAUCAAACUUUCUACUGCAAUACAAUUUACCUCCAGUUUUAAUUUUGACCUCUGGGAAUUAAAAACUGUUUUUCAAUUCUUCCAAACCCUCCAUUUUUCCUACUGGAGCAGCUUUGCCUUUGAUGUGGGGAAACAGUCACAUCUGAGCAAUCCUAAUCACCGCUUUAAAUGGCAUCUCUUUUUACACAGGCUAUAAUUUUAAUUUCUCCUUUGAAAUACUCAUCUAUAAUUUUGGAUGUACAAUGAGUCCUUGGGAUGUCAAUUGGUUCCUUCCUAAGGUCACCGCUACUGUUCCUAAGAGGAAAGGGUCAUAAAUUCUAGCAAUUAUUUUAUAACACUUGAAUUUUGGGGAGUAAGACGUUUAUUUGUGGUCAAGUCUAGAGCAGCUCUGCCUAUAGCAGUUUUUUAAUCUGCAUGUCAUUCCUGGGCUGAAACUGCUAGUAAUUUUGCUGCAGGGCUCCAAGCUAGGCCCCCAAGGCAUUUCCCAAUGGUAAGAAAUGACCUUGAAUGUUUCUCUUGGAUCUAAACUUCUGAUCCACCACAGCUUUCCUCACACUGCUCACCAAACCCCACUACUCAACAAGCAGACGGAGGAUUCCAAGUCAAGGCUGGCUUGUGCCACACACCAAGAUCCGGUUUCAGAAAUCAAAAACUAACAGAACUAAAAAUGCACAAAAUUCACGAAAACUCACUGAUACAAGGUACCCCAGAGAAGAGCAUACAGAGUUAAAAACAAACAAAAAAACCAAGCAAACAGAAAACAACUCACUACUAAAACAAAGCACACAAAAGUGACAAUAUUAGUUCUUGGAACAGAGCAAGCAGGUCUCUUAAGAUUAAAAUCAGUAUGAGCAUUAAAGAAGCAGCUCUCAGCAGGUAAACUAAAGCAGAUCAAAACCCAGAAAAGGUGCUGAGGAGACCAGCGAAAAAUAAAGCUGGAGAGCACAAAAGCUUGAUUAGAGGCACAGAACCAACGGGAGUACAAGUUCCAGGAGAACAGGUUUGGAGAGGCAACAGUCAAUCAGAGAAAACAACAAAACAAAACAAAAACUCACCUCUUCAAUAAAUUCUGAGAGCAAGGGCUCUGAACAGAAAAGAACAAAUCUUUUCUAACUAUUAUACAAUACUGUGAUGGACAAAACCAAAGCAUACUGGGAAAACAAAUCAUCUAAGAGCAAUAUGGGGAGAGAAAGAAGGGGGGGGGGGAGAACACAGGUGGGUUGGGGCAGUAUAUGAGCAUGGAGGCCUCGACCUGACCUGGAAGCAUGCCAGGACACUAGGGUAAGGAACAAAGGGAAAUCAUCUCUAAAAUAGGACUGGGGGUUGCGGGGUAGAGACAGUUUUAGGACUCAUUACUGGAAUUUCUGUGGUGAAAAACAAUUAAAACAAUCAAUUUUUUUCGUUAAGAAAAAAAUUCAGGGCUGGAGAGAUGGCUCAGAGGUUAAGAACACUGACUCCUCUUCCAGAGGUCCUGAGUUCAAUUCCCAGCAACCACAUGGUGGCUCACAGCCAUCUGUAAUGGGAUCUGAUGCCUUCUUCUGGUGUGUCUGAAGACAGUGACAGUGUAUUUUCAUAUAAAAUAAAUAAAUCUAAAAAGACAAAAACAAAAACAAGAAAAAACUCAUUUGCUGAAAGUCCUGGAAUAUAAAAUAGCCUAGAUUUUUUUCUUUUAAAGUCCGAUACAGUUUAAAGCACAAAUGUACUUAAAAUUCUAAAAAGCUAGAAUACUGAAAAGGAGAGGGCAGCUAAGAACCAUUAAAAACUCUUGCAUGAAGCUCAACAGGUGACUGCCUAGUGAGUACAAAUCCUGGGUUCCACUCCCCAGCACUGAAAAGGAGGUGGGGAAAUAGCUUGUACUUCUACUUAGGGAGGCACGCAAAUUACAGUCCUUAGUUUGAGCACCACACAGCACUGCAGGAAGUCAGGUAAGAUGAGGGCAUAUACCUGUAAUGCAAAUACUCAGAGGGGCAGAAGCAGGAGGAUCGCAAGCCAGAGGCCAGUUUAGGCUACACAGAGAGCCUACCUUGGGGGAAGAGUAAUAAAACAGAAACAAAAUGCAUCAUGUUUAGUACUUCUUUCAUACCAUAUGCAAAAUGGCUUUUAAAAUCCUAAAAAUAGCUAAACCCAUGAAACUGUAGAGCGAACACAGGGGUAAGCCCCUGUGCACUUCAGUUGAGCAAUAGCCCUACCAUCUAUGGCACAAACAAUAAAAAAAGACAUUUAAAUGUUCAAAAUGAGGCGAAUAAGAACUGAACCACUUGUGUGUUUUAUAGGGAGGGAUCACGGUGGGCACACUGCAGCUUAGUCUGUCUGAGAAGGCUUAGAGCACACAACAAAAGCAAGUAAAAUAAACAACUAAUUUACAAUGUGACCAGAGAUUUCUUCAGAGACAACAUACAAAUGUCAACCAAUCACAUGCAAAGAAACACAGUAUCAAUAGGGACAUGAACAUCCAGACCCACAGUGACAUGCUGUAUCGUUCCCUAGAAUGCUUGUGGUCAAGAGGACAGCAACAAAAGCUGUUAGUGAGGAAGGGAGAAAACAGAGGUUUUCUUCCUUCUGGUAGAAAUGUAAAAUUGUGUAACAAUUUUUCUACUUGUUAAAGUUUCCAUAUGUCUUGGAAUCCCACAUUACGUCUAUUUUCCAGUAGCAGGAAGAACACACAUCCACACAAACACCUGUAUAUGAAUGCCCAGAGCACACACAUGAUCAUCGCCACUGUUGAAAAUUGGAAACAACCCAAAUGUCUACCAACUGAAAAAUGGCUCUGUGAAACAUGGUACUUCGGGGACUGUAAUGAACACAAACCCACACUACUAUGGGAACCAGACACCUUUAAGGGAAAGUGGCCAGACACAUGACAGAGCUCCAGUUCUAAGGACCACCACUCUAAGUUGUGGAAAAGUGAAAAGCACAGACUACAAAAGGCACACACACACUCCUUAGCUCAUGGUUACACCUGCCCCUCUAGGAAAUACACCAAAGUCAAGUGGGCCACCUAUACCCUUAAUGGUCCAGUCUCACAAUAAUUGUGUAAACUACAGAUAAGCAAAAUACUUAAUACUCAGAUCAGUCCAAUAGCCCAGCUGAAGGAGGCUGGGGAGCAAUGAAAGAAAACACACACAAAAGCCACCUCAUUUACAUGAACUAGGAAUAAAAACUAAGAUAAGCAUAAACUUACAUACAAGUGAGUAGACUUUGGAAAAGUAAUUAAAUUCGGAUAGACAAGAUAAUUCGAACAAAGCAUAGUAUCUAUACUUAUCUGCUAAUCAGAUGACAAUUCUACCUAAAUGAACCUAAAAAAUAUGACUCUAGUUCAGCAAAAGUAACAAGAAUUAUUUUUUAAAAAUUGCCCAAGCUAAGCUAAUAUAUCUGUGGGAAAGUAUGCAUUGAGAAAGCCAGAAAACAACACUUAAGAAACACAAACAAAACAGGAAGUUAGAAAAAGAAAACAAAUGGGGGAGGGCUAUGUGCACUGCUGUUUUGCCUGCAUGUAAGUCUGUGUGAGGUGUCGGACCCUCUGGAACUGGAGUUUCAGGCAGUUGUGAGCUGCCAUGUGGGUGUUAGGAACUGAACCUAGGUCCUCUGGAAGAGCAGGCAGUAUUUUUAACCACUGAACUAUUUGUCUAACCCCACGAAAAAUAGAAGUUAUUACAUCAGUAAUAGUAAAAGGUAAUCAACAUUGUAGUCCUCAAGAUGUUCUAGAAUUUUGUAGAAGUCAUCAAGACAACAGGGCUGUUCUUGUAGUGGACCUGGGUUCAGUUCUGAGCAACCACAUGGUAGCUCACAACCACCUGUAACUCUAUUUCUAGGGGACUCCAUGGGCACUGCUCAAAUACAGUACACACACACACACACACACACACACACACACACACACACGCAAAA